GCUGGAGGUUGCUGUGUACCUAUAGACUUUCAAAGUUCCUACAUCAUACAGUGCUGACAUUAUUAACCUGAAAAAACAAACAAACAGGGAGAUGUUCUCCGGGAUGACAAAUGGCUCUGCACUUUUUACCUGAAAUUGAGGAGCAGUGCUCAGAGAACAGUGCUUGCAGAGAGCUGAAUCGAGUUGCCUCCUUUACUGCCCUGAGGAAAUUUCAAGUCCUGCACCUGGCCCUCAGUAAUGAGCACUGCAACAUCCAAAACUAAGCAGAUUCAAGGGGGGGAAAAAAAAAGUGUUAAAAAGGAGGAAGUAGAAAGCAUUUUUUGGCCAGAUUACAAUAUGCCAGAUGACAAUUGUUUUUCCCCAGUCAAUAUUUAGUUUUAUCACACUGCUGGUCUCAUUUGCCAUCAAAAGAGAGAUCUGUACUGGAAUGUUUCAAUUACACAGAGUUACUUUAGUAGUGUGCACUAGGUUUAAUUAAAGUUUAAAGAAAAUGACAGCACUUUAAUAGUGAAAACAUGACAUCAAACCUUGCUUUAAUGUGUGCCCUUAACAUAUCCAUUUAAAAAUACCGUAAACAUACGUAUUGCAGAGAAACAUUAAUUUUGAAGCUCCAAUUGUCUGUGCAGUAUCCACAGCCAGCAGAUUUAGAACUUCAAGUAUUGAUUUAAAGAGGUUUUAAAAGUCAGCAAAUAAAUGCCUAAGCACACUUAUGCUGUGUAUUUAGCUAAGCAAUAUUCAUACCAUUUUACUUUUCCCCCCUAUAUCUAAUUCUGUAGAAUGGUUGAUAAAUAAAAUAGUGAUGUUAAAAUAGUAUUUAAACUGAAAACUUAAGGUAUCACUCAGCC